AAGUGCGGCUUCUAAGGCA
rnacentral:tRNA from 1 species